ACUGCUUAUGGCAGAGGAGAGAGAGGCUAUGCCUAUGCUCAGUAUUCUGACCUAUGAACACUGAAUGAUUAGUAGCCUAACACACU
rnacentral:snoRNA from 1 species